rnacentral:rRNA from 1 species
UAGGGAAUCUUCCACAAUGGACGAAAGUCUGAUGGAGCAACGCCGCGUGAGUGAAGAAGGGUUUCGGCUCGUAAAACUCUGUUGUUAAAGAAGAACAUAUCUGAGAGUAACAGUUCAGGUAUUGACGGUAUUUAACCAGAAAGCCACGGCUAACUACGUGCCAC